UUUGUUCUUUUACUAGUUUUUGUUAAACAUUGGACAAGAAAUUCUAUAUCGUUAAUUACCCAUCCAACUGUGUGGUAGUGGCUUGAAUUUAACAUAAAUUUACAUAUUUUUAAAUCCUUUUAGCUAUAUAUAUACAUAUUUCAAAUGAAUUGGAUGGCAAUAUGAAUUGCCACUUCUUUCAUUUAGCUCAAUUCAUAUAUUAAUUACUAGUUUACUACCACAAUAAUAAUAACGUAUUAUUCAAAUCGAAGACAGUAAACUCCAUGUUACAUCUAUUACUGCCAAAGAUAAUAGUAUUUUCAAAAGAUUAUGUGGUCCGUGAUUGUGGACUUUCAAAAAGUUAAAUAAUGCAAAAUCAAAAUCUACUGUACUGCUUGAAAUUUAUAUUUUCUUCCUUCUACUAGUGGAGCAAUUUUGUUGUUCAACAUUACUCGAGGCCUCCAAUUUACACCUUACAUAAACAUAUCCACGUCAGAAUGAAUAUAAUCCAUAUCAACCAAUAGCAUCCACUCACAUUAGAUAACAGUCCAUCAUCUCAUCACCUAAAGUCCUAAACAUCCACAAGUAUACACCACUCAUUUAUGAAAAGAAUCAACCGCUUCCUUCAGUACUUCAAUCCACAACUUCUCAUAUUAAAACCCCCUCAACCCCUUCUCAUCUUUUCUUGAUUCCAAAUUCUCAAAUAGCUAGUGCAAUGGCCACAGUUACCUCUGCUGCUGUUGCUAUCCCAUCUUUCACCGGCCUUAAGGCUGGUGCUUCCUCAACUUCCAGAGUUAGCACCACCGCCAAGGUGGCUGCUGCCACCCCCGUCACCAAGUUGGCCGUAAAGGCAUCUUUGAAAGAUGUCGGUGCUGUUGUUGUCGCCACCGCUGCUAGUGCAAUGCUUGCUAGCAAUGCCAUGGCUAUUGAAGUGUUGCUUGGUAGCGAUGAUGGCGGUCUUGCUUUUGUUCCUGGAAACUUCAGUGUUAGCGCCGGUGAGAAAAUUACGUUUAAGAACAAUGCCGGGUUCCCUCACAACGUUGUAUUUGACGAAGAUGAAAUCCCAGCUGGUGUGGAUGUAAGUAAGAUUUCCAUGCCUGAAGAGGAAUAUCUGAAUGGACCAGGGGAGACUUACUCUGUCACUUUGAGUGAGAAAGGAACUUACACCUUCUACUGUGCGCCUCACCAGGGAGCUGGAAUGGUUGGCAAAGUUACUGUAAACUAAUUUCUCACCUCUGUAUCACGUAAAACUUGAUUUGAAUUCGCAUCAUUUCACCAUUUUCAUUUCAAUAUUGUCCUUCUUUUUGAGGUAAGGAGAACUCAGAAGAGUUGCAUAUUUAUUGAUGUUGCUGGGGAUUUGAAUUGUAUCAUGGUUGAGGUAAAACUUAAAUAAUGUCAUUUUAUGAUUAAUACAAACUUUUCUGGACUGUAAUGUUGUUAUUAAAUUAAUAAGUUCAACCUUUUCCCUGACUUGUAUGGAAUUUUUCAUUCAAGUACAUAGUCGCAGUUUGUGAUAUAAACAGGAAAUGUAUUCUCAUAAAUGAAAAAACUUAAGAAUAAAAUUGUCAUUCUUUCAGACACAGAUCAGAUUAUACAGCAAAUGGCCGAAAAUUUUCACUGUACAUGUGUUGAAAUUACAUCAUCUUUUUAGUUACUGUACUUUUGGAGGGAUUCUUGAAGUCAUCACGAACAAGAUGCUUUAUUACAUUAUAAACACAAAGAAUGGUACAACAACAUUAGUGAACACGACGCAGAACUCAGACAGAACCGUUUCUCUAGAAAAAUGGUUUAAUUUAUGGGGGGCAUUAGAAAGCUGGAAGAGUCAUGUGGUCAAAGCAUCAGGAAGAUUGGUUCGAGCUCCUAGUACUUUACCACCAACAUCAGGAAAAUAUUCAUGACCAGGUAAGGAACUUACUUUCCCAUCAGAAUCUACUUUGACUGGGUACUUGAGAAGAUGACCUUGUAAAGGUUUGAACUCCUCAGCAGUGAAUCUGUUCCAAUUAUCUUCAGCAACCUUAUUCACAUGCUUCACACAGUCCAAACUUUCUGGCUUUGUGAAGCAAUCGUCUAACUUGCCCAUAUGCUCUGCCCACAGAGACAUUCUAUAACCAUAUACCUGCAGCCGCACUUGUUAACUUUAAUCAAAUAUGUCAAGGAGAUCCUUUUGUAGACUGGCUAGAAUGGAUAACAAAUAGUGUACUGCUAUUAUUUUUGCUAGUUUUGAUCAUCACAAAAAUGUUCUAGUUUCCUUAUUUGGGAAGGAGAAUGAGGGAAAUAAAAACUCACUGACCUGGCCAUGUGGAUGUUUUUUCUUGUUAGCCCAAGUGUGAUGAGGCUGAUAUGCUCCCAUAGCUAUCUCUGUGUCUCUUGAACCAGCCAUAGAUCUUUGGUUAAUAUUAGCGGAUCCUAAAAUAACAUACUCAUCGUCCACUAUCAUCCCCUUGGCGUGUACAUAAAUCAUAAACCGUCCAAAUUUCUGGGAAGCUGAGAUCUGAUGACAGUGGUGGCAUGGCAGAAUUACUCUCAUAAUUAUGUGCACUUAAAAGACUAUCUAUAAUGAUGUAACGUCUUAGAUUUCUAAAGAUUCAUACAACCAAAUCCGAAUCUUUUGAGUUUUUCUUUUGUAAAUCAACAUCAAGUUGGUAAAUUUUUUAAAUUAUAUUUGUCACAUAAAAGAAAAAAAGAUUCAGAUGCUACCAUGCUAAUCAAAAAGCAAUUUGGAAAAUAUUUUGACUCAGCUCCUAUUACUUGUCAAAAAUUGUUGUUAAAAAUAUUCUUUUGGUUUAUUAUGGGGAACAGAAGACUUGAUGGGUACUCUAUUUGCAGGAAAAAAAUGUGAAGAGGUUAAGCUGACAAUUUAGUGAGAUAAGCAAGAAAAAAAAAUUAAAGGAAGAAAAUUACAGCUGAAGAAAUAGUUUCAUUUCACAUGAGUUAGAACACAUUCAUUUCCUUUAUUCCAGAAAACUAGCAUGGAUACUUGUCACUUGUCAACAUUUUUUUAAGUUAACUUAAAAGAUUGCCUCAAUGAUUACAAAUUUGCAAUCAAGCACAUAUAGUUGGAGAAAUAGCAGAACUAAAGGAAAAGAGAAUAUCCUUAAGCACAUAGAACUAUAAAUAAUUCCAAGAACAUCAUAUAGAUUUUAAAGCAUUGGUUAGCGAAAGUGGAAUAGGCAGAUAUUAUGAGAAGAAAGAUUGCUACCACAUCGCCAUUUGAGGAAGCAGGGUUUGGCUUUGAUCCUCCAUGUAAUUCUUCUCGAUUACCCAGACAAUAGAAGUUUAGAUAGUCAGAAGGAUGUACAUCCUUAAGUUGAGAAGAUUUUAGCUCUUGAGCAAUGAUUCCAUACAUCAUUUUCAUGGUUUGCCUCUGCAAGGGAAACAAGAUAAUGAGAAUACAGCAUAGGAGACAGACCCUUGAGGAACUGAGAACAAUAUUUGAUGAGCUCGCCCGUCGCAGGCAUAGAACUACAACUAAAUCGACAUAAUAAACAGAGGAAAACUGAAGAACAAGAACUGUAAUGUAAUUGUAAAUGGGGCUUGAACAUCAAAUAAUGGAACAGCCUUUAGCCUAAAAGAACACAUUUUUCUUCAGGUAGAUAUAAACUCGAACGAUUCAAUUAUCCACCAAACUAAACAGAUUAUCACGCCUAGCUCACUUAUCGCCUUGUUAGUGACAAGAAUUACCAAAUUACGAACUGGUAAUCGGAAAAGUUGGAUCAUUAUAUUUCAAUUAUCCACUAAUCAGCUAAAUCACAUUCUUAUUUUAUUAUUGAAAGAAUCACUCAGUCAAAUAACAUACACAAAGCUAACAUUUAAAGAGUAGUACGCUGCAUCACCUGCCAAUACAGAAUUUCUUGUACUGAAGCAGAAGUGGGGACUCCCUCAGGCCACAUUGGAAUGACAACAUAAACAGAAAAUCGCUCUUUUUCCCGAAUUUUACUGGCUAUCUUUAAUGCAAGCUCCAUGGGAAUUAGAUUAUCAGCACCUAAAGUAUAAGCAAAGUUUUAUCAAUUAAAAAAAAAUAAGUUGCAAGCAGAACAAAGGAAACCAAUGUUUAGUGGUGUAUUCUAGGAGACCAAACAGCCUCAUUAAGAUACCGCUCCUUGAGUUCAGAAGAAUCGUGUUAAUGGGCAUUAUUGAGUGAAGCAGUACGCAUGCAAUGAUGAAUCUCAACUCAUCGUAAGUCUUUUAGCACUUUGUUUGGUUAAACAAAGUGGAAAAGAAGGAAAGAGAAGCAGUGGAUUGACAUUGUUAACUUAAAAGAAAAAGGUUUAUCUCCAUAAAACUCGGUAAGUGUAAAGGAAAAUACAAGGAAAAAUCUAGCUUCUUCCUAUCUUACACUUCCAAAACUUGACAGAAUGUUUCCAGAACUUGAAAAUACAUUUAAUAGGGGUAAAUAAUUUUUUUUCUGAUAAGGAAAAUAUUUUAGUAUGGGUAAUUGAUAUAUGUAUAUGUAUAUAUGUAUAAUGGUAAUGCCUGGGCACGCUUGUGAGCACCUCAGAUAAUCCUCCCAUACCUGCUUGUGCGACCUAGCCAUAAUAGGUACCGGCUAAAUCUAUCCAUAAUGGCUUAAACAAAUGGAAAGAAAUCACCUUUUCUUUUGCCUGUAGUGGGAUUUGAACUAUGAGCGUAAUUUAACUAGUUGUCAUCAAUAUCACAACAUUUCUCUCAACAAUUGAAGGUGUCACAACUUUUGAAAUGGAAGGGUUCCAUUGCCUACAGUUUUACGUCGCUCUGUUAUUUAUUCAUAACUACACAAGGUAAAUGGCCCUUCCAGUCAAGCUUAUUCACCCUCCACCUAAGCCUCCUCCUAACCCUCCAAACAGAGAAUCAGAAAAAGUUACAUUUUGCCAGAAAUAUUGGCUUUUGUGUAAUAUAUCAACUCAGUUAUGGUUCUUACUUUACUUUGACAAUCCAAAAGCACAAAAGAAGAUAAACAAUGGGAAGUAAGAUUAGGAACUGCAAUAGUGACAAUAAGAAACCUGCGUCUUUGUAUGAAUGCCAAGCAUAUGAUGACCCAAGGAAAUAUUGAUUCUCAAUAUAGAUAAAAUGUUGUGCCUGUCUUAUUGCCUGAAUAUAUCCCAUUUGGAUGCUCUUAUCGAUCACCAAAUUUUUUGCACAGACAAGGUUCUGCAGUGACAGAAAUACCAAAGACCUUUGCCAUUAAGAAACUUAAACAAAUUCAAUAAAGCUAUAUACAAGUGGCAUGUGAUAGCCAACUUUCAGUAUGGACUUCAAGAAACAAGAAGCUACAAGAAUAUGCACCUGUGAUUCAGCCAAAAAAACAUCUUUAGGAAAUCCUUUCAAAGACCCUGAAUCAAUAGAUCGGAAGACCUAUAAACAUUAAAACAACAAUAUUAGCUGGAAUUAACUUAAACCUAAUCAAUAACUCAAUAAUUUACUUUGUCAAGCAAACGUUAGUUCUUAUGAACCUGAACAUGCCAGUUUUCAGGAUCUUCUUCCUUGGAAACCCACAAAGAUUGGUCAUCAUUCGGAACAGAAGAGGAAGGACUAAUAAUCCAAGAAAUUCUUUCUAUUUUGAUCAAAGCAUCGUCAUGCCAAUGAGAUAUCCUUUUUAAACGUCUUCCCAACUCUGACCAUUUUGUGGCUUUUCUCCACCUCUGCUCAAAGUUUGUGAGCACAUCAUAUGCAGCAGGUCCUUCAACCUUGCAAUGCAAGUCAUGCCAUGGCUGUCUAGGUCCCUUGGUUCCUGCCUAUUGAAAAGAUAAUAUGUACAUCUCUAGCAGGAAAGCCAAAGAGAGCACUCGGAAAUAGAUUUUCAGAGAACAAGUAUAGCAUCAUUUUAUAUGCUUGUAAAAGAUCAAGAUAACUAAAAAACUAAAAUAUCAAUUUCUUAAAGAAAUAGAUUUUCAAUUGCCUAAUAUGCUACAGUAUAUCUUUGCAGGAAUAUUCUCAACAUGGCAGGUCAAGGUUACUAAAAGAAUGUAAGCUCAGCUGUAUCACAUUGCACAUCACAGAGGUCUAAACCACCAGUCAAAAAUACUCACACAAAAUGUUGGAUUAUGAUAAUCAUCCUUGAAGACUGUGUCAAGAUCACAGAAUAAUCUAUGCUCAGGUGUAUCAUAACGCCCAUCACAGAGGUCUAGACCACCAAGGAAAGCUGUAAUCUUCCGAUUGUUGCCACUGGCUUGUGUGUCCACAAUCACACACUUCUGAUGGUGCGUAUAAAGGGUUCCAACCACCUAAAUAUCAUAUAAACAGAAAUGUAAUUUGUCAGGAGUUCUGGAUGGUUUAAACGAAAGGGACUUGUAAAGUUCAUCAUAUCUUUGGAGGGAGCCAUAUUAUGCAUGCACAUAGAAAGGUGAUUACAUGUCUAAAAAGUGAGGCAGUACACCAGUUACUUCCACGGCAAUAAUGUAUAAUGCAUAUACAAGCACAUCUUAGACAUUUACAUAUCCUUGCGGCCUUACCAGUUGAAUUUUCUCUUGGCAGGAGAAAAGCACUGCCAUUAAGUUUUUGAAUGUAGAGAAGGUCAAUGGUUGUUUGGGGAUGAAAGAAAGAGAAAAAAGAAAGAUGAAAGGAUUAAAGAAAACUUAAUUUGAAUCACUAAAGUCCUGCUCUCUUACACCUAAGUGUAAGAUGUCUAUCCGACACAAAGAUUUCUUAAGUGCCUGAUAUUAAAGUUGAAUAUUUAACUCUCUGCUUUUUCUUCCUUUCCUUUUAAGUAAAUUUUCGACAAAGUUAAAACACCUUUCCAUGUUAGGUCUCUGCAUCUCCUAUCUUAGAUAAGAAAUUGAAUUUUUCUUAUUGUCGGUCUUAAGUAUGAUAAUUAAAAUGGCAAAGAGCCAAAACAGACGAAGAGGCAGCAGUUCGCUAUGCUGACUAAUAAUUUUGAGUUUCGGCCUUGCACAAUCAGAAACUGUAAGAUUUGGACGUUGUCCCUAAAAGUCAUAAAUCGUCCAUAAGUAGACUAGCAUUUACUCAAGGAGAAACAAAUAUUGGUGUGGUACGAAGCAUGCCUGUUGCUUGAAAAUGCUUAGCUUACUGCUUGCAUAACGAGGUGACAGCACACAAGUGACAGAUGAGUGCUUGAAAAAUUUCCGAGUUUCUUCAUCAUGAGUACACAUCAGUCCAUCCUGCACAAUUUAGAGCUCAUUGAAUCAGAAGCAGGAGUAUCAAAAGACUAUCAAGUACAUGAAAGUUGCUAUUGUCAUAAUAUAUGCAAUUAAGUUAAGACCAUAACCACUUUAUCAAAAAAAAAAAAGUUAAGAUCUUAAUCCACAACCAACUCAAAUAUUUAGCAAAGCAGGGCAACAUAGACAGGCAGAGGUAAGCCAGAUGAAAGGCUACAGAACCCCACAGUCUGCGAUUCAGUUACGGCCUUGAAAGGCCCUGUUCAGUCCGUAAUUCAUUUGCCAAGGAUAUACUCUUGAAAGGGUUUUAGAAAUUUAGGAAACAAGCACCAAUAAUCCUCUAGCUACAUUUUCUAUAUAAUCCACUAAUCGCCAUGAUCAAAGCUGUAGACAGUCAUCUGCUGUAGUCAGGCUACAACUUGCCAAACUUCAAACACAACUUGACCAAUCAAAGUAACUUGGGACUGCACAUACACACAGUAAGGUGUAAUAAAAUGGUUAUUGGUGGUUUCAAAGAAUAGGUUAUGGGAUAGGCUAAACAAAAGCUUUAAAUGAGCUCAUGGAAGAUAUGCAGCUAUUCUAUCAACUUUCAAAUGUCUAUGAGGGUAAUAAGUGUCUUAGGGUAGCAUAGUCAUUGUAGUAGAGUUAAAGGUAGCUUAAAGAAAAACAUGCCCUCCAACAGAUGAAUCCAAGCAUCUAAAAAGUGGGGUACUUCUCCUAGGUCACAUUACACAAGCAGAGACAAUAACCAAAAAUGAGCUCUUGAUCUUGAAAGUCGGAUCUUUUCACUAACAAAUGUCUUCCGUUCUUCCUUCCAUUAGUCCAAAACAGACAGAAAGGUGUCAUUUCCAGAUUUACCUCUCAUAUGUUCCAGCAUGAUGGACAUUCCACCUACAUCAUUUGGAACAAACCCAAUGGACCCCGAAAAAGAGAAGAGUGACAAAAGCCACAUGUCCAUAGCAACUUCCUUUCAUAUGACACAACAACAGAAGCACCAGGUGACAGCAGUUUCUAUUUUCCUAGUGUCAUUGUCAGCAGUAGAUCUUGUUUUCUUUUUUCUUUUUACUGCUGACAAAUAUUGUGUUUUGUGGGCUGCAUUCCAACUCCAAGCACAAAGAUGAGUUCUUUUAGGACAUUGAAGCACCAAAUUGCCUUGUAUGAUUUUGGUUGCUAUAUUUGUAACUGAUAUAAUUGUAGUAAGUUUUUUUUUUAAAUAUAUACUCCCUCCGUAUCAAUUUAUGUGAACCUAUUUCCUUUUUGGUCCGUGCCAAAAAGAAUGACCCAUUUCCNNNNNNNNNNNNNNNNNNNNNNNNNCUUAAACUCCGUGCCCAGUCAAAUGGGUUCACAUAAAUUGAAACGGAGGGAGUAUAUAUAUAUAUAAAUUGUAGUAAGAGUUCAGGGGAGACAGAGUUUGGGGACUUUUUGGUGUUUUAUGCAGGUUUUCUGAGUGACUAUCUGUGAUAACAUAAAAAGAACCAGAAUUUUGACUUUCCAUAUUAGAAAAGGAAAGAUACAGCCUAGAAUAACAGCUUCCAAAAUGAAAAGGAACAAAAAUCCAAUAAAGGAAAAGGGAGUAGAGAACUUUAUCACUGUACAAUAUAGAUGAACAAACAAACAUGUAAAGUUCCAAAAGGGAAAGCAUAUUAAAGUAGAUUAUUAUAAAGUGCCUCACCAACUAGUCUAAUGCUAUAUAAUACCAAGGUGCAGAAUCUUAGCAAAUUGAAAAUCAUACUAGCAAAUAUCAGACUUUCAGUUUCAUACCGUUUGAAUGAAGAAUUUGCUGUGAGAAGUCUUAUCAUCCCAAACCAACAACAAUACCCUCACUCCUUCCUCCGAUUUAUACUUAAGCAAGUCCCCAAGUGUCAAAUCCCCACCGCUCGGCAACGGCUUACUUGGCUCCCUCACCAGCUUCACCUUAUGAAAUAUUGACCACCCAACUAUAUACACCAAAUGAUGUGCCUCCAAUAUCGCAUGGCAUAUAUCUUCCCAACACUUACUAUGCUCGAACACCUUGUUAUCAUCCAAUUUAAUCUCCGGCAACAUUCCAUCUGGCACGUGCGCGUCCUGAUAUAAAGUAACCGAUCCUCCGUGCCUCACCGGAAAAUAACUCUCUUUUAAGCCGUAAUCCUCUGAUAUGCCGCUGUUAUAUACCGGAUUACCGUUGCAAUGUGUGAAUUUCAUUUGGAGUCUAAUAGCACAAUCAGGCUUUGGAGGUUUACCGUAAGGUCCAAUUAUAGGGAACCAAUCAUCAAUGAGCUCGCCGGACUUGAUCUUCUGAGCUGGAACGGUGGCAACGCCGAUGUAAUCCGCUCCGAAAACGUCGUUAUCCUUAACCUGGAAUUCAACAACGGAAACAGGAUGAGCUAGCGGGAUUUUGAAAUGCUCGUUCCAAACAGGAUCCUGACAGUUCGAAAUCACGCGCGUACGCGCCACAGUAGCGCCGGAUAAGCAAACAGUAACAUACGGAUCGCUAGUUAUGAUUUUCCGGUGAUGACCUUUCCGGCGCCGGCGAGUGAACGGUUUCCGGCAAACAUCUAAUGCUGUAAAGCAACGACGUAGACGUUCGGUGACCAAAUCCAUAUUAGGUAACCGUCGCGCUUCUAGAAUCUUCAAAUCAAGGUCUCCAUGUAGAUGUAUCACAUUUUCACAAUUCUCAUCCGCCAUUAAUAAUAAUAAUUACAAAAAAACGA
rnacentral:lncRNA from 1 species